GACGAACGCUGGCGGCGUGCUUAACACAUGCAAGUCGAACGCUGAAGACCUGGCUUUUGUGGGGUUGGAUGAGUGGCGAACGGGUGAGUAACACGUGAGUAACCUGCCCUCUUCUUUGGGAUAACGCCCGGAAACGGGUGCUAAUACUGGAUAUUCACUGAUUUUCGCAUGGGGGUUGGUGGAUAGGUUUGUUCUGGUGGGGGCUGGGCUCGCGUCCUAUAAGCUUGUUGGUGGGGUUUUGGCCUGCCAUGGCUUUGACGGGUGGCCGGCCUGGGAAGCUGACCGGUCACAGUGGGACUGAGAUACGGCCCAGACUCCUGCGGGAGGCAGCAGUGGGGAAUAGUGGACAAGGGGCGAAAGCAUGAUGCAGCGACGCCGCGUGAGGAAGGGAGGCCUUCGGGUUGUAAACCUCUUUCGCACAUGGUCAAGCCGCAACUGUGGGUUGUGGUGAGGGUAGUGGGUAAAGAAGCGCCGGCUAACUACGUG
rnacentral:rRNA from 1 species